GAAAUUCUUCACCGGAACACCACCGUCAAGAAAACUUGUAAAAAAACCUUCAAAUUUGAUUUCUCCAAUUCCAACACCACCAUAACCAGCUGCAAUUUUCCCAAAUUCUUUUUUGGAACAACCUGAAAUUGGUUUCCUCAAACCCAUGAUUCCCUUUCACGAUUUCUCUCCACUGGGUUUGUUAUCCGAUUUGAAUCACUUACCAAAAGUGAAAAUAUUCAUUUUUUUUAACUCUCCAGUUUAAUUCUUACUUGUCACCACCAAACCAACUAAAAUGUUUUAACAGAAGCGGACGCACGGCGAGGAUAUGGGGCGAAGCGUAAGUCUUGAGGCGUAAGCCCUAUAAAUUACACAACUGGCAGCCCCUACCCCACCCCCCAUCAACUCCUGUCAGCGACCCCAGGGGAGUACUAGGCAGUGGACGCACACCGGCAAACAGUAACUUUCGGCAGUGGCACUAGUAAUACUGCAGGAGUGAAGAGAAGGCGAUACAACAGAUGCACCUUGAUAUCUCCAGCUUUAAUCCAGGUGACAUUACCUCGGAGUUGGUACCUCCGGUUGCACGUUUGCUCGGUUCUGACUUUCUUUCUUGUAGUUAAUUAAUUGCUUUGUUUUUGUACUGACUAGUUUAUAGUCAUUUAUUUUAGAUACCUCAUUUUAGACGCCCUUUCUUGUUGUAGUGGUAGUGGUAGUGGUAGCUUAGUAACUCCUA